GACCCCCCCGGUUGGGUGAAUUAAUUUUCAAAACCCCUUUUUUUUAAGUGGGUGAUAUAAUCCCCAAAAUUUAACCCACCGGGGAGGAGUUUGGGAUAUUUAUCCUUUUUUUUAAAAGUGGGAACGUGUUCCCAUUCUUUUUUUUUUUUCCUCCUUGGGAAAAAAAUUCAGAUGGUUUAAACAUUGGUCCUAAACCCCCAUUUCCCUUCGGGGUAAUUCCCCCUCUUUAUAGGAGGGCGCCCGCCAAUUUCUCCGGGAUGGCUAGUUUUUUUCACCAAAUUGUUUAAGAAACAAACGCGGGGGGUGGCCUAAACACAUGCAAGUCGAGGGAGAAUCCCCGGUUUCGCUUGGGAGAGUAAAGCGGCGCAGCGGGUGAGUAACGCGGGGUAACCUUUCCCUAUAGUGGGGGAUACCCUACCGAAAGGUGGACUAAUCCCGCAUACGACCGUCAUGCACAAGCAUGACGGGGAAAGGUGGCCUCUUCUUGAAAGCUAUCGCUAUUGGAUGGGCCCGCGUUGGAUUAGCUUGUUGGUGAGGUAACGGCUCACCAAGGCUGCGAUCCAUAACUGGUUUGAGAGGACGACCAGUCACACUGGAACUGAGACACGGUCGAAACUCCUACGGGAGGCUCCAGUGGGUAGUUCUAGAAGUCUCCUACAAAUUUCAG
rnacentral:sRNA from 1 species